rnacentral:rRNA from 1 species
GUAUCAAUAAGCGGAGGAAAAGAAACUAACAAGGAUUCCCCUAGUAACUGCGAGUGAAGCGGGAAAAGCUCAAAUUUAAAAUCUGGCGGUCUCUGGCUGUCCGAAUUGUAAACUAGAGAAGUGUUAUCCGUGCUGGACCAUGUAUAAGUCUCCUGGAACGGAGCGUCAUAGAGGGUGAGAAUCCCGUCUUUGACAUGGACUCCCAGUGCAUUGUGAUGCGCUCUCAAAGAGUCGAGUUGUUUGGGAAUGCAGCUCAAAAUGGGUGGUAAAUUCCAUCUAAAGCUAAAUAUUGGCGAGAGACCGAUAGCGCACAAGUA